rnacentral:misc_RNA from 1 species
AAGUCGUAACAAGGUUUCCGUAGGUGAACCUGCGGAAGGAUCAUUAAUGAAAUGAUGUUUUUUGGGGUUUUCCCUGAAAAAUAAUUCACCCUUUGUGCAUUGUUAUUAGAUAUACUUUGGUUAGAGCUUUGAUUUUAUUUAUUGGAAUCAACUUCUUGCUGACUCUAUCCUUUCUGAGGACAGUUGGCUAUGAAGCGGCCUACCAAGGUUUUUUUAUCAAACUCUUGUAUUUUAUCUGACCUAAACUAUUAUAAUUAAAUCAUAACUUUCAACAACGAAUCUCUUGGCUCUC